rnacentral:rRNA from 1 species
GACGAACGCUGGCGGCGUGCCUAACACAUGCAAGUCGAACGGAAAGGCCCUGCUUUUGUGCGGUGCUCGAGUGGCGAACGGGUGAGUAACACGUGAGUAACCUGCCCUUGACUUUGGGAUAACUUCAGGAAACUGGAGCUAAUACCGGAUAGGAGCUCCCGCUGCAUGGUGGGCGUGGGAUAGUUUCGGCGGUUGGGGAUGGACUCGCGGCUUAUGAGCUUGUUGGUGGGGUAGUGGCUGACCAAGGCUUAGACGGGUAGCCGGCCUGAGAGGGUGACCGGCGUCAUUGGGACUGAGAGAGGGACCAGACUCGUACGGGAGGCAGCGGUGGGAAAUAUGACACAAUGGGAGGAAGCCUGAGGCGGCGACGCCGCGGGCGGGAUGACGGUCUUCGGGUUGUGAACCGCAUUCGCUUGUGACGAAGCGGGUGUGACGGUAAUGGGUAAAGAAGCACCGGCUAACUACGUG